GAUGAACGCUAGCUACAGGCUUAACACAUGCAAGUCGAGGGGCAGCAUGAAGUUUGCUUGCAAACUUUGAUGGCGACCGGCGCACGGGUGAGUAACGCGUAUCCAACCUUCCCCAUAGUAGGGAAUAGCCCGGCGAAAGUCGGAUUAAUGCCCUAUGUUGUAUUAUGAGGACAUCUGAGCAAUACCAAAGAUUUAUCGCUAUGGGAUGGGGAUGCGUCUGAUUAGGUAGUAGGCGGGGUAACGGCCCACCUAGCCGACGAUCAGUAGGGGUUCUGAGAGGAAGGUCCCCCACAUUGGUACUGAGACACGGACCAAACUCC
rnacentral:rRNA from 1 species